GUGCUCACUUUGGGAGCACAUAUACUAAAAUUGGAAUGAUACAGAGAAGAUUAGCAUGGGCCCUGCACAAAAAUUAUUUUAAAAAAUUAAAAUUUUA
rnacentral:snRNA from 1 species